rnacentral:rRNA from 1 species
GAUGAACGCUGGCGGCGUGCCUAAUACAUGCAAGUAGAACGCUGAAGGAGGAGCUUGCUCUUCUGGAUGAGUUGCGAACGGGUGAGUAACGCGUAGGUAACCUGCCUGGUAGCGGGGGAUAACUAUUGGAAACGAUAACUAAUACCGCAUGACAACAGUUAUUGCAUGAUAACUGUUUAAAAGGGGCAACUGCUCCACUACCAGAUGGACCUGCGUUGUAUUAGCUAGUUGGUGAGGUAACGGCUCACCAAGGCGACGAUACAUAGCCGACCUGAGAGGGUGAUCGGCCACACUGGGACUGAGACACGGCCCAGACUCCUACGGGAGGCAGCAGUAGGGAAUCUUCGGCAAUGGACGGAAGUCUGACCGAGCAACGCCGCGUGAGUGAAGAAGGUUUUCGGAUCGUAAAGCUCUGUUGUAAGAGAAGAACGAGUGUGAGAGUGGAAAGUUCACACUGUGACGGUAUCUUACCAGAAAGGGACGGCUAACUACGUG